rnacentral:tRNA from 1 species
UGGUAGCUCAGCUGGAUAGAGUGUCUGACUACGAAUCAGAAGGCCAGGGGUUCGAGUCCCUUUCAG